AUUGAACGCUGGCGGCAUGCCUUACACAUGCAAGUCGAACGGCAGCACGGGUGCUUGCACCUGGUGGCGAGUGGCGAACGGGUGAGUAAUACAUCGGAACAUGUCCUGUAGCGGGGGAUAGCCCGGCGAAAGCCGGAUUAAUACCGCAUACGAUCUACGGAUGAAAGCGGGGGACCUGCGGGCCUCGCGCUAUAGGGUUGGCCGAUGGCGGAUUAGCUAGUUGGUGGGGUAAAGGCCUACCAAGGCGACGAUCGGUAGCUGGUCUGAGAGGAGGACCAGCCACACUGGGAGUGAGACACGGCCCAGAGGCCUGCGGGAGGCAGCAGUGGGGAAUUUUGGACAGUGGGCGAAAGCCUGAUCCAGCGAUGGCGCGUGUGUGAAGAAGGCCUUCGGGUUGUAAAGCAGGUUUGUCCGGAAAGAACUGCUUGGCCCUAAUACGGUCGGGGGAUGACGGUACCGGAAGAAUAAGCACCGGCUAACUACGUG
rnacentral:rRNA from 1 species